AGAUGGCAAGAAUCCGAUCAGCAAGCAGACCACCAAAUAGUUGGUAAUGUCCUAUGUUCUCCAGUCUUACCAUCGGUAGCUAACAGAUCACGGACCUAUAGAUGGUUGUCCAUCUCCAUACUAACAAAGAUCGACCAUCUGAAGAGAGGUAGGCUAAAAAUCCAAGCAUCCUAGCUUACAUCAACUGAUGUCCCAUCUCUAAUCAACUAUCUGAUCUAGGCCAGCAUCGUAGGGGCACGAGUAUAAAUCUCACUCAUGAUGAAGGACCAUCCACAUACAGUCUAUAUUUAGGACCCCUUACUCUACUCCCCAUAUCGAGUCCUUAUCAUCCUACUCCACAAGCAGUCGGGUUGGGGAAGAAAUAUGG
rnacentral:lncRNA from 1 species